UACGUAGGUGGCAAGCGUUGUCCGGAAUUAUUGGGCGUAAAGCGCGCGCAGGUGGUUUCUUAAGUCUGAUGUGAAAGCCCACGGCUCAACCGUGGAGGGUCAUUGGAAACUGGGGAACUUGAGUGCAGGAGAGAAGAGUGGAAUUCCACGUGUAGCGGUGAAAUGCGUAGAGAUGUGGAGGAACACCAGUGGCGAAGGCGGCCAGCUAGACCAGUUCUGACACUGAGGCGCGACAGCGUGGGGAGCAAACAGGAUUGAGAAACC
rnacentral:rRNA from 1 species